rnacentral:rRNA from 1 species
UAGCGUAGGGGGCUAGCGUUGUCCGGAAUCAUUGGGCGUAAGAGCGUGUAGGCGGCCCGGUAAGUCCGCUGUGAAAGUCGGGGGCUCAACCCUCGAAUGCCGGUGGAUACUGUCGGGCUAGAGUGCGGAAGAGGCGAGUGGAAUUCCUGGUGUAGCGGUGAAAUGCGCAGAUAUCAGGAGGAACACCGGGUGGGCGAAGGCGGGGUCUCUGGGGCAGUAACUGAC